rnacentral:piRNA from 1 species
UCUCGGGCUGGACCCCCUCUGUA